rnacentral:rRNA from 1 species
GAUAACCUACCUAUAAGACUGGGAUAACUUCGGGAAACCGGAGCUAAUACCGGAUAAUAUAUUGAACCGCAUGGUUCAAUAGUGAAAGACGGUUUUGCUGUCACUUAUAGAUGGAUCCGCGCCGCAUUAGCUAGUUGGUACGGUAACGGCUUACCAAGGCAACGAUGCGUAGCCGACCUGAGAGGGUGAUCGGCCACACUGGAACUGAGACACGGUCCAGACUCCUACGGGAGGCAGCAGUAGGGAAUCUUCCGCAAUGGGCGAAAGCCUGACGGAGCAACGCCGCGUGAGUGAUGAAGGUCUUCGGAUCGUAAAACUCUGUUAUUAGGGAAGAACAAAUGUGUAAGUAACUAUGCACGUCUUGACGGUACCUAAUCAGAAAGCCACGGCUAACUACGUGCCAGCAGCCGCGGUAAUACGUAGGUGGCAAGCGUUAUCCGGAAUUAUUGGGCGUAAAGCGCGCGUAGGCGGUUUUUUAAGUCUGAUGUGAAAGCCCACGGCUCAACCGUGGAGGGUCAUUGGAAACUGGAAAACUUGAGUGCAGAAGAGGAAAGUGGAAUUCCAUGUGUAGCGGUGAAAUGCGCAGAGAUAUGGAGGAACACCAGUGGCGAAGGCGACUUUCUGGUCUGUAACUGACGCUGAUGUGCGAAAGCGUGGGGAUCAAACAGGAUUAGAUACCCUGGUAGUCCACGCCGUAAACGAUGAGUGCUAAGUGUUAGGGGGUUUCCGCCCCUUAGU